UGCCCCGUGGCUGAGUUGGUUACAGCGUCCGACUGUUAAGGUCUAUGCGAAUAGGUCGCAACAUCGGAAGGUCGUGAGUUCGAGCCUCACCGGGGCAG